rnacentral:rRNA from 1 species
GAUUUGGGGGUGCCGCAAGGAACCUAGAGACAGGUGCUGCAUGGCUGUCGUCAGCUCGUGUCGUGAGAUGUUGGGUUAAGUCCCGCAACGAGCGCAACCCUUGUCCUUAGUUGCCAGCAUUAAGUUGGGCACUCUAAGGAGACCGCCGGUGACAAACCGGAGGAAGGUGGGGAUGACGUCAAGUCAUCAUGGUCUUUACGUCUAGGGCUACACACGUGCUACAAUGGUCGGUACAGAGGGUUGCGAGCUAGCGAUAGUAAGCCAAUCCCCGAAAGCCGACCUCAGUUCGGAUUGCAGGCUGCAACUCGCCUGCAUGAAGCUGGAAUCGCUAGUAAUGGCGUAUCAGAAUGACGCCGUGAAUACGUUCCCGGGCCUUGUACACACCGCCCGUCACAUCACGAAAGUGGAUUGUACUAGAAGUCUGUGCGCUAACCCGCAAGGGAGGCAGCGGCCCAAGGUAUGAUUCAUGAUUGGGGUGAAGUCGUAACAAGGUAGCCGUAA